rnacentral:snRNA from 1 species
AAAAAGGGCCGGUUGGCUUCGUAUGCCACGCGCGUCAGUCGACGUGUGCUGUAUGGAAAUCAACACAUAUGGCCGGCAAAAUCUUUGUAACCCCCCAAUAGGGUUGGCACGUUUUGCCGACCCUGAA